UGGGGAAUCUUGCACAAUGGGGGCAACCCUGAUGCAGCGACGCCGCGUGAGCGAUGAAGGUUUUCGAAUCGUAAAGCUCUGUCCUAUGGGAAGAUAAUGACGGUACCAUAGGAGGAAGCCCCGGCUAACUACGUGCCAGCAGCCGCGGUAAUACGUAGGGGGCGAGCGUUGUCCGGAAUUACUGGGCGUAAAGGGUUCGCAGGCGGCAUGGCAAGUCCGAUGUAAAAGGCGAAGGCUCAACCUUCGUAAGCAUCGGAAACUGUCAAGCUUGAGUGAAGGAGAGGCAAGUGGAAUUCCUAGUGUAGCGGUGAAAUGCGUAGAUAUUAGGAGGAAUACCGGUGGCGAAGGCGACUUGCUGGACUUAAACUGACGCUGAGGAACGAAAGCGUGGGUAGCAAACAGG
rnacentral:rRNA from 1 species